ACAUGCCUUCCUUGCUUUCUUCCACCACAUAUAUACACUAAAAUUGGAAUGAUGCUGAGAAGAUUAGCAUGCCCCCCUCAAAAUAAUGACAUGCAAGUUUGUGAAGUGUUCCAUAGACAA
ensembl:snRNA Gm22140 predicted gene, 22140